rnacentral:rRNA from 1 species
CAAACUGAAGAUGGCGACCGGCGCACGGGUGAGUAACACGUAUCCAACCUACCGAUAACUCCGGAAUAGCCUUUCGAAAGAAAGAUUAAUACCGGAUAGCAUACGAAUAUCGCAUGAUAUUUUUAUUAAAGAAUUUCGGUUAUCGAUGGGGAUGCGUUCCAUUAGUUUGUUGGCGGGGUAACGGCCCACCAAGCCUUCGAUGGAUAGGGGGUUCUGAGAGGAAGGUCCCCCACAUUGGAACUGAGACACGGUCCAAACUCCUACGGGAGGCAGCAUG